GAUGAACGCUGGCGGCGUGCCUAAUACAUGCAAGUCGAGCGAACGGACGAGAAGCUUGCUUCUCUGAUGUUAGCGGCGGACGGGUGAGUAACACGUGGAUAACCUACCUAUAAGACUGGGAUAACUUCGGGAAACCGGAGCUAAUACCGGAUAAUAUAUUGAACCGCAUGGUUCAAAAGUGAAAGACGGUCUUGCUGUCACUUAUAGAUGGAUCCGCGCUGCAUUAGCUAGUUGGUAAGGUAACGGCUUACCAAGGCAACGAUGCAUAGCCGACCUGAGAGGGUGAUCGGCCACACUGGAGCUGAGACACGGUCCAGACUCCUACGGGAGGCAGCAGUAGGGAAUCUUCCGCAAUGGGCGAAAGCCUGACGGAGCAACGCCGCGUGAGUGAUGAAGGUCUUCGGAUCGUAAAACUCUGUUAUUAGGGAAGAACAUAUGUGUAAGUAACUGUGCACAUCUUGACGGUACCUAAUCAGAAAGCCACGGCUAACUACGUG
rnacentral:rRNA from 1 species